AGAGUUUGAUCCUGGCUCAGGAUGAACGCUAGCGGCAGGCCUAAUACAUGCAAGUCGAACGGUGGCAGCAAUGUCAUAGUGGCGCACGGGUGCGUAACACGUAACUAACCUACCUAUAACUGGGGGAUAGCCCGCCGAAAGGCGGAUUAAUACCGCAUAAGCUAGUUGACUCGGCAUCGGGUUAUUAGUAAAGAUUUAUUGGUUAUAGAUGGGGUUGCGGGUCAUUAGCUAGUUGGUAAGGUAACGGCUUACCAAGGCGACGAUGACUAGGGGAGCUGAGAGGCUGGUCCCCCACACGGGCACUGAGAUACGGGCCCGACUCCUACGGGAGGCAGCAGUAGGGAAUAUUGGGCAAUGGGCGAGAGCCUGACCCAGCCAUGCCGCGUGCAGGAUGAAGGCUUUCUGAGUCGUAAACUGCUUUUGACAGGGAAGAAUAAGCCUUACGUGUAGGGUGAUGACGGUACCUGCAGAAUAAGCACCGGCUAACUCCGUG
rnacentral:rRNA from 1 species